rnacentral:rRNA from 1 species
GUUGACCUCGGAUCAGGUNNNNNNNNNNNNNNNNNUUAAGCAUAUCAAUAAGCGGAGGAAAAGAAACCAACAGGGAUUCCCCUAGUAACGGCGAGUGAAGCGGGAACAGCUCAAAUUUGAAAUCUGGCCCUCGGGUCCGAGUUGUAAUUUGUAGAGGAUGCUUUUGGUGCGGUGCCUUCCGAGUUCCCUGGAACGGGACGCCUUAGAGGGUGAGAGCCCCGUACGGUUGGACGCCUAGCCUCUGUAAAGCUCCUUCGACGAGUCGAGUAGUUUGGGAAUGCUGCUCUAAAUGGGAGGUAUAUUUCUUCUAAAGCUAAAUACUGGCCAGAGACCGAUAGCGCACAAGUAGAGUGAUCGAAAGAUGAAAAGCACUUUGAAAAGAGGGUUAAAUAGCACGUGAAAUUGUUGAAAGGGAAGCGUUUAUCACCAGACUUUUUCUAGGGGGAUCAUCCGGUGUUCUCACCGGUGCACUUCCCCUGGUUGAGGCCAGCAUCGGUUUUCGGAGGGGGAUAAAAGCUUCGGGAAUGUGACUCCCUCGGGAGUGUUAUAGCCCGUUGCAUAAUACCCUUCUGGGGACCGAGGUUCGCGCAUCUGCAAGGAUGCUGGCAUAAUGGUGAUCAACGACCCGUCUUGAAACACGGACCAAGGAGUCGAACAUUUAUGCGAGUGUUUGGGUGUCAAACCCUCACGCGUAAUGAAAGUGAACGGAGGUGAGAGCCCUUACGGGUGCAUCAUCGACCGAUCCUGAUGUCUUCGGAUGGAUUUGAGUAAGAGCAUAACUGUUCGGACCCGAAAGAUGGUGAACUAUGCGUGGAUAGGGUGAAGCCAGGAGAAAUCCUGGUGGAGGCUCGCAGCGGUUCUGACGUGCAAAUCGAUCGUCAAAUCUGCGCAUGGGGGCGAAAGACUAAUCGAA